UACAUAGGGAGCAAGCGUUAUCCGGAUUUAUUGGGUUUAAAGGGUGCGUAGGCGGACGCUUAAGUCAGCGGUAAAAUUGCGGGGCUCAACCUCGUCAAGCCGUUGAAACUGGGUGCCUUGAGUGGGCGAGAAGUACGCGGAAUGCGUGGUGUAGCGGUGAAAUGCAUAGAUAUCACGCAGAACCCCGAUUGCGAAGGCAGCAUACCGGUGCACAACUGACGCUCAGGCACGAAAGCGUGUGGAUCGAACAGG
rnacentral:rRNA from 1 species